rnacentral:rRNA from 1 species
GAUGAACGCUAGCGGCAGGCUUAAUACAUGCAAGUCGAGGGGCAGCACGAAUAGCAAUAUUUGGUGGCGACCGGCGCACGGGUGCGUAACACGUAUACAACCUACCUAUAACAGGGGGAUAGCCUUUCGAAAGAGAGAUUAAUACCCCGUAACUAAAUUAGAAUGGCAUCAUUUGAUUUUGUAAAGACUACGGCGGUUAUAGAUGGGUAGUGCGUCUGAUUAGCUAGUUGGUGAGGUAAUGGCUCACCAAGGCGACGAUCAGUAGGGGAUCUGAGAGGACUAACCCCCACCAUGGUACUGAGACACGUACCAGACUCCUACGGGAGGCAGCA